UUCAGAUACAGACCACAAACCUCGCAGGUGAGCUCAUCUUUCUUCCAAGCAACUCUGUCUGAAAGGUAUCAACCUUUACCUUCUGCUUCAGUUGGGAGAGAGGACAGACCAUUAUACCUCACCAAAUUUGCUAUUUCCAUCGACUCACCCUCUGUAUUCAACCACUGCUCAACAGAUGCAAAUCUCAUACCUAUUGAGUUGCCUGAUGCAAUCCCUGACUGGCAGAAAUACAAGAAGUCUUUCAAGGCAUCACAGACAAAAUCAAUGAAGUGAAGUACCAAUUGGAGCACUUUAAGCGGUUGUUACCGAUUGCUUUUUGUGAUUUUUUACCAAAACCGAUAUGGGAUGCCAUUACAGAGCUUAGUCACUUUUUUAGAGAUAUUUGCUCAAGUGAAUUACGAAUUCAACAUUUGGAAAUAUUGGAGAAAAACAUUAUUGAAAUCCUGUGUAAGUUAGAAAAAAAUUUUCCACCGGGGUUCUUUGAUUCCAUGGUGCACUUACCCAUUCAUUUAGCUUAUGAGGCUAAAGUUGGUGGACCUGUUCAUUAUAGAUGGAUGUAUCCAUUUGAAAGGUUUUUGCAUCAAUUAAAAAAAAAAGUGCGGAAUAGAAACUAUGUUGAAGGAUCAAUAUGUGAAGCAUAUUUGAUUGAAGAAAUAUCUACAUUUUGCUCACAUUAUUUUGAAGAUCAUGUCCAAACACGAUUGAAUCGUGUUCCUCGUAAUGAUGAUGGUGGAGAUGUGAAUGCAAACAAUCGUUUGUCAAUUUUUACUCAUCCGGGUCGACCAUUAGGGCAAGGUAAAAUGGUGACUAGAGGCAGGGGUAGAAAAUAUAAAACUCAAGUAAGAGGAAGUUCUAGUUGUUUUGCACAAGGUGUUGAUGAUGAUCUUACUUCUAAUCCAUCACAUUUUGUCAAUCGCCAUGGAUUGCAAUCCACACAUCUUAAUGCAUCUUUAACUGACGGACAACAAUCCAAUGCACCACCUCAUGUUUCACCAUUAUCUAGCGGAUCACAAUCCAAUGUCCGGCCAGAUCAUGUUGCAUCUAUAUCUGAUGGGCUACAAUCUGAUGCACCUUUGCUAAAUACACCACUUGAUGAUCAUGUUGAGGAAGCUAUUGAAGAUACUGUCCAAUCACUUCAUGAAUCUGCCACUACUUUAACUAAGCAAACAAAGAGGAGGGGGCCUAAUAGAGGUAGAGCUCUACCAUCUGAUCCUUCCAGGAAGAUCAAACUGAAUGUUAUAAGUGGGAGUGAUUUUCUAGAAGAUGGAGUUGCUGCUGACAUUUCUGCUAUGGUGAAAUCAAAUUUUAAUGAUCAUUGGCCAACUUGGGCACAAUUUUCUGAUGAAACAAAAGCUGCUUUAUAGGCAAAAUUUCAGGAAAAAUAUCAUUGGGAUGAAGAUAAAAAUGAAAAUGUGUAUAAAAUAUGGUAUGCCAAAGCUAAUAAGGGGUUUAGGGAUGCUAUUAGUAGAGGAAGAAAAAAUGCAUGCACUAAGGCCGGCAUUAACCCUUAAGAUUCAAAUGCUAACUGGGAAAAAGUAAAAGAGCAUAGAGAAAGUUGGAUCCCGCAACCAAUUUGGAAUCAUUUUGUGGAUAAUAUUUGGUCGAAAGAGGAAUGGAUGAAGAAAUCUGCCAAGGCUGCAAAAAACCGUAACACACUAAAGGAAGGAAGUGUCACCAAACAUACUGCUGGUUCAUGUUCAUUUGUUAAACAUAAGCAUAAGAUGGCUAAAUCACUAGGACGAGAACCAUCCCAACUAGAAAUUUUCAAUGCAACUCAUACUCGUAAGAAAGAUGGUGGCCAAUUUGUGGAUGGAAAAUCAAAAUCCGUCAGUGAGAAAUAUGACGCAGCUUUGAAAGAGAAACAUGGUAAUGAUUCUUCUUCUCAAGUGACGUUUGAUGCUGAUGCAUGGAAAUGUGCUAUUGGUGAUAUCAAUCGCUCCCAUUUGUAUAGUUUUGGAGCUCUUGAGAACCGAAGGUCUAUUCUAGGUGGAAGUUCAACCCAAAGAUCCACAACUACUAAUGUACCCAAUGUAGCAAAUGAGGCAUUACAAGAGCUUUUCAAGAAAUGGUUGUCAAAACAACUCCCUGGUAUGUUAUCUUCUUUAGGCUAUCAUCCUAUGGACAAUGCAUUUGGAGACAAUGUUCCACCAUCAUCAAGUGGUGAUAUUCCAAACACUUCACAAAAUGGCAGUCAAGGAAUGGAAAGUAAUAGGGGUGCUGAUGGACAUGAUGAUAGGGAUGGUGAUGGACAUGAUGAAUUGGAAGCACCAUGAUAAUUUAAUAUGUUGCUAAUGUGAUGCAUGUAAAAAGCUAACAUCAACUAAUUUUUUUGGUUACAACUUUGACAGGCUAAACAAUCCCUACAUAUUUUUUUAAUUAGCUUGUCUAUUGGGAUUUAUGUUUUGUAUAUUAGUAGGAUGUUAGCUACCAACUCUUAGUUUAUAAUUUAGAUGUACUACUAAACUCCAAUUUAGAGGAGGAUAUUAAUUAGCAACCCCACAAUAUUAGUGAUUGUUUUUGUUUUUGAGCGAUGGGGCCUAUUUGUAUUAAACUAAUUAUAUAUAUGAUGAAUUGAAUUUACUAUUUUA